UACGGAGGGUGCGAGCGUUGUCCGGAAUCACUGGGCGUAAAGGGCGCGUAGGCGGCGCGGGUAGUCAUCGGUGAAAGUUCAGGGCUCAACUCUGAAUCGGCCGGUGAUACUCCCGUGCUCGAGCACUGUAGAGGCAGGUGGAAUUCCGGGUGUAGCGGUGGAAUGCGUAGAGAUCCGGAAGAACACCGGUGGCGAAGGCGGCCUGCUGGGCAGUAGCUGACGCUGAUGCGCGACAGCGUGGGGAGCAACAGG
rnacentral:rRNA from 1 species